AGCACAAAAUGUCCCCGGGGCCGGGCCCCUUCCCCUGGGAGGGGCAGCCGAGGCCGUCGCCCCGCCCGUGAGUCGCCCAUCGCCUCCCGGGGCCCCCAGGGGGCUCACCGCCUGCCGCGCCCGCGGUCUCGGAUGUCUUUGCCCUUCGCGACGGAAAAUAAAGCCGUACCGAGGGGCGGGUCACGGCCGCAGACUAUUCACAGACCACAUGAGAACAGAGACUGAAGACUACCUGAAUCUCCUCCUCCAGCAUUUCCUGUCUCUGAACAUACCUGAAAAUUUCUUACUCCUACCUUUUAAUUGUUCAAAAACAAUAUGUGGAGAUUGCUGCGGGGAGACAGAAUUUUCUCAUCUCCAGAUGCAGUAACAAGCAUUCCAAGACACAGUAACAUUAACACCUGUCUCAAGGGACCACAGCAAGAACAACAAAAAUAGAGUGUAUACAGGGUGGAGCAAAACUGCACACGAACAGCUUAGAAUUACCUUGGAUGGUCUCUCAUCAUUUCGUACUAAUUUGAUUUGCUCUAGAUGAGGAGAGAGAAAAAAAAAAGGUUUUACAAAUAUGUCAGUUUCCUUCCUUUGCUCUUCCUCCAAAAUAAACAUGCUGUGAGUUAUCUGUAGCUAACACAUACUUCAGGAAUUCCUCUUUUGUACAAUCCUGGUAUAAAGGGGGACCAUACGAAGAUUAGGUAUGAUGACCAAUUAAACAUGAGCACUCUGUUAUGCAUAAUAACACAGCGAUUCUAAGAAAUGCAAUGGCCAGAUCAAAGCAGUUUCUCUUAUUUGUAACAAACGCUCUGCUAUUGCUGAGUUUUCAAGCUGUCUGCUUAUUAAUGGUGUGUUGAUACUCAGCUAAAGGGCUACAAGAUGUUUGCAUGUUGUGUCUACACAAUGAGCAAGCCUUAAUGUGUAGACACAUGUAUUACUGCCAGCAAUAUUUUCCU